rnacentral:rRNA from 1 species
AAUCCAUAGGUUAAUGAGGCGAACCGGGGGAACUGAAACAUCUAAGUACCCCGAGGAAAAGAAAUCAACCGAGAUUCCCCCAGUAGCGGCGAGCGAACGGGGAGGAGCCCAGAGCCUGAAUCAGCAUGUGUGUUAGUGGAAGCGUCUGGAAAGGCGCGCGAUACAGGGUGACAGCCCCGUACACAAAAGCGCAUGUGCUGUGAGCUCGAUGAGUAGGGCGGGACACGUGGUAUCCUGUCUGAAUAUGGGGGGACCAUCCUCCAAGGCUAAAUACUCCUGACUGACCGAUAGUGAACCAGUACCGUGAGGGAAAGGCGAAAAGAACCCCGGCGAGGGGAGUGAAAAAGAACCUGAAACCGUGUACGUACAAGCAGUGGGAGCACCCUUUGGGUGUGACUGCGUACCUUUUGUAUAAUGGGUCAGCGACUUAUAUUCUGUAGCAAGGUUAACCGAAUAGGGGAGCCGGAGGGAAACCGAGUCUUAAUUGGGCGUUAAGUUGCAGGGUAUAGACCCGAAACCCGGUGAUCUAGCCAUGGGCAGGUUGAAGGUUGGGUAACACUAACUGGAGGACCGAACCGACUAAUGUUGAAAAAUUAGCGGAUGACCUGUGGCUGGGGGUGAAAGGCCAAUCAAACCGGGAGAUAGCUGGUUCUCCCCGAAAGCUAUUUAGGUAGCGCCUCGUGAAUUCAUCUCCGGGGGUAGAGCACUGUUUCGGCUAGGGGGCCAUCCCGGCUUACCAACCCGAUGCAAACUGCGAAUACCGGAGAAUGUUAUCACGGGAGACACACGGCGGGUGCUAACGUCCGUCGUGAAGAGGGAAACAACCCAGACCGCCAGCUAAGGUCCCAAAGUCAUGGUUAAGUGGGAAACGAUGUGGGAAGGCCCAGACAGCCAGGAUGUUGGCUUAGAAGCAGCCAUCAUUUAAAGAAAGCGUAAUAGCUCACUGGUCGAGUCGGCCUGCGCGGAAGAUGUAACGGGGCUAAACCAUGCACCGAAGCUGCGGCAGCGACGCUUAUGCGUUGUUGGGUAGGGGAGCGUUCUGUAAGCCUGCGAAGGUGGCCUGUGAGGGUUGCUGGAGGUAUCAGAAGUGCGAAUGCUGACAUAAGUAACGAUAAAGCGGGUGAAAAGCCCGCUCGCCGGAAGACCAAGGGUUCCUGUCCAACGUUAAUCGGGGCAGGGUGAGUCGACCCCUAAGGCGAGGCCGAAAGGCGUAGUCGAUGGGAAACGGGUUAAUAUUCCCGUACUUGGUGUUACUGCGAAGGGGGGACGGAGAAGGCUAUGUUGGCCGGGCGACGGUUGUCCCGGUUUAAGCGUGUAGGCUGGUUUUCCAGGCAAAUCCGGAAAAUCAAGGCUGAGGCGUGAUGACGAGGCACUACGGUGCUGAAGCAACAAAUGCCCUGCUUCCAGGAAAAGCCUCUAAGCAUCAGGUAACAUCAAAUCGUACCCCAAACCGACACAGGUGGUCAGGUAGAGAAUACCAAGGCGCUUGAGAGAACUCGGGUGAAGGAACUAGGCAAAAUGGUGCCGUAACUUCGGGAGAAGGCACGCUGACACGUAGGUGAAGUGAUUUACUCACGGAGCUGAAGUCAGUCGAAGAUACCAGCUGGCUGCAACUGUUUAUUAAAAACACAGCACUGUGCAAACACGAAAGUGGACGUAUACGGUGUGACGCCUGCCCGGUGCCGGAAGGUUAAUUGAUGGGGUCAGCGCAAGCGAAGCUCCUGAUCGAAGCCCCGGUAAACGGCGGCCGUAACUAUAACGGUCCUAAGGUAGCGAAAUUCCUUGUCGGGUAAGUUCCGACCUGCACGAAUGGCGUAAUGAUGGCCAGGCUGUCUCCACCCGAGACUCAGUGAAAUUGAACUCGCUGUGAAGAUGCAGUGUACCCGCGGCAAGACGGAAAGACCCCGUGAACCUUUACUAUAGCUUGACACUGAACAUUGAGCCUUGAUGUGUAGGAUAGGUGGGAGGCUUUGAAGUGUGGACGCCAGUCUGCAUGGAGCCGACCUUGAAAUACCACCCUUUAAUGUUUGAUGUUCUAACGUGGACCCGUUACCCGGGUUGCGGACAGUGUCUGGUGGGUAGUUUGACUGGGGCGGUCUCCUCCUAAAGAGUAACGGAGGAGCACGAAGGUUGGCUAAUCCUGGUCGGACAUCAGGAGGUUAGUGCAAUGGCAUAAGCCAGCUUGACUGCGAGCGUGACGGCGCGAGCAGGUGCGAAAGCAGGUCAUAGUGAUCCGGUGGUUCUGAAUGGAAGGGCCAUCGCUCAACGGAUAAAAGGUACUCCGGGGAUAACAGGCUGAUACCGCCCAAGAGUUCAUAUCGACGGCGGUGUUUGGCACCUCGAUGUCGGCUCAUCACAUCCUGGGGCUGAAGUAGGUCCCAAGGGUAUGGCUGUUCGCCAUUUAAAGUGGUACGCGAGCUGGGUUUAGAACGUCGUGAGACAGUUCGGUCCCUAUCUGCCGUGGGCGCUGGAGAACUGAGGGGGGCUGCUCCUAGUACGAGAGGACCGGAGUGGACGCAUCACUGGUGUUCGGGUUGUCAUGCCAAUGGCACUGCCCGGUAGCUAAAUGCGGAAGAGAUAAGUGCUGAAAGCAUCUAAGCACGAAACUUGCCCCGAGAUGAGUUCUCCCUGAGACUUAGAGUCUCCUGAAGGAACGUUGAAGACGACGACGUUGAUAGGCCGGGUGUGUAAGCGCAGCGAUGCGUUGAGCUAACCGGUACUAAUGAACCGUGAGGCUUAACCUUACAACGCCGAAG